rnacentral:rRNA from 1 species
UACGUAGGGUGCAAGCGUUGUCCGGAAUUAUUGGGCGUAAAGAGCUCGUAGGCGGUCUGUCGCGUCGGCUGUGAAAACCCGGAGCUCAACUCCGGGCCUGCAGUCGAUACGGGCAAACUGGAGUGUUGCAGGGGAGACUGGAAUUCCUGGUGUAGCGGUGAAAUGCGCAGAUAUCAGGAGGAACACCGGUGGCGAAGGCGGGUCUCUGGGCCGUAACUGACGCUGAGGAGCGAAAGCGUGGGGAGCGAACAGG